CCCCUCCCGCAUCCCGGGUGCAACCGGAUGACACAAAUCAAAGCUGGUUCCAAUUUACCCCAGUUGUCUUCCUUUGAACACUCACAAGGCCCACUCUGUUCUCCAGUCUUGCUACGUGGAUUUCUCUCUCUCCAAGUAAUUCCUCAGCACCCCUUUGAAUGGCAUCUACCGCACAUAACUUUUGCAAUCCAGAAGGCUGAAACAACUUCACAUAACUGAAAUGACUCCAGCACAGCUAUUCCCUAGAAGACAUCCUCCCUGGUUUCUUGUGGAACCUGUAAGAUGACUGAAGUUGUAGGCAAGUACGAUAAUGGAAAAAAGGGCCUCUAUUCUCUUGAUACCUUGCUAGCAUGAACAUCUUUCUAACAGUUCAGAGAUGAACCAGAUAUCUGUCAUGCAUCACCACAGUAAGGUAACAUUUCUCAGGACAAAUGAGAUCUCCUGGACUCUGCUCCCAUCUGAGGAUAUCUGAAGUAGAAAAGAGUGCCAGAGGCACCAGAGGUUACACCUGCCCAUGCAGAACGCUGUCCUGCUUCUGAGGUUCAGCUGUACGUUUCAGCCAUGGGCAGUCGAGGAUGGGCCUUAUGUCUCCGUAGGGUCCUGUGGGUGUGUGUGGGUUAAUAGCCAGGGACUGGGGACACUCUGAAGGGGUGCUGGUCCGGGUGAUGGGGUACUAGGACCCCAGGGUGUGCUGUCAUAUAGAUCAAAAGAUUAAGGCUAGUUCUAGCCAUUGAGCCUUUGGUUUUCUCAUCUUCCUCCAAACCUCUUAUGACCAAGACCAUAUUGAUCUUGGUCUGCUUUUUCCUGAUCUGCAGACAGGGGUGUAAGGCACACCAUGCUAGCAUGAAUACGACUACUGCCUCCAGAGUUCCCAUGCAGGGCUGGAGGAGAAACAGCCACCAGUUUGAAAAGCUUCCUAUUCUUUCCUGAUUCUCUGAAGGCCCAGCAUAGGAGUCCAUGCCUACCCUGAUAAUCCACCAGUAGAUCAGACAGCCCCUCACUUCCCAUAUGCAGAUGUUCAAUGAUGCUCUGCAGUUAUUCUGAGAGGAGUAGGACCCCUUCCUGGCUGCUCCUUAGCAGUCACUGGCACUCGUCAAUCCUAAAAUGCCUUGACUUUGGCAGAGGCCAAUACCAGACAAUAUGGAAGGAGACUCUCCCUCCUGACUGCUCAUUUAAGAGUGUAGCAGUUUACCAUGGACAGAGAUGACUUCCUGACCCUGUCUAUUGACUGGCAUACGUCAAGAACCACUGGGAAGAUUAGACAUUAUUACCUAAUGCCAGCUAGGAAAACUCCUACAGAUUUUUUUUAAGUCUAGGAGCAAACAUUAUUAUCAUCUAAUCUGAUUUUCUGCAUAAUACAUGCUACUAAAUUUAACCCAAUCUGAACUUUGUGUGAAGAUUUGCUUUUAUGACUAAAAAUGCCUCCUCAUUUACAAAUAUGAUGCUGUUUCUCUCAGUACUCUUUGUGCAGCAGCAAGUUCCAUUAAUUAACUGUACAUUGUUUGGAAAAGCAAUACCUCUUAUCCAUUUGAAAUUUGAUACCUCUUCGUUUCACCUUGCAGGAUAGGAAAGUUUUUUUUUUUCCUUUGCCGCUAAUUAGGUUGGAGGAUCAUGAGGGUGAAAUGUUAUUUAUAUUAUAGUCAUGCUUAAGUAGAGCUCUGAUGAAGCCUGGGGAUCCCAUCAGACAAAGUGAGGGAGACUGUGCGAGUCCUUUGGGGCUGAGACUAACUGAAUAGACAAAUGACACAUUUUCGAGGGAGCCGAGUGAUUUCACUGGAAAGAUUGCCAGGCAAGUCAAUGGAUUUGUACCUCUGAAUCACCUAUGCUUUUCUGAAAAACUCACCCAAAGUUUCAAAGAAAGAUAAGGAAAAAUGAAAUUUCUAAACCUGAGACCAAAAAAUGAGUUUGGGAUGUAGUCAGCAAAGGAAAAAAGGUGUUGCUAAUAUUUAGCUCUGUGUCCUGUUCAUUGUCCGUAGGUCACAUUGGCCUCCAGUGGCUGAAAGUCCUCUAAGAGAACAGGGUACACUGAGGAAAAUAUCUGCAAUGUCGGCUUCAUACAAGGGCCCAAAGCCUUCCGGAAGAACUGCUAGGAUCCAAGGACAUCUUCUAGAUUAUCCCAGGCAGCAGCGCUUGUUCCAAGUUUAUGGAGAGGGUUCAUGUAUGAUUUGCAUUCCUGUGAGGGUGAAUCUUCCCUGAGAGACAAGCUGGUGCUUGUGUUCUUUAUCUCUUCUCAAGAAAUUUCCCAUCCUUUUGACUUUUAUCAUUUUUAUUGCCAUUCUCUGGACUUGUUCUAUUUCUACUUUCUUUUUUCAGGGAUGAGGUGACCAAAUUUGAAGACAGUAUUCAAAGUGAGGAUGUGCCACUGAUUUAUAUAAUGGCAUUAUAAUAUUUUCCAUAUUAUUCUCUCAAACUCUUUUCUUCGUACAAACCCCAUAAGAUUCUUUUUAAUUCUUUGAACUACAGUGCCUUUUAACAUCUGUAGUUUACUCUGAUCAGAUUUUGACAAAGGAAUAAAAGGCUCCAUUUUUCACAUAGAAUUUUAUUUAUUGUUUGAACUUUAGAGAAGAAACUGGUUAACUUACAAUUUAAAAUUCUUGGCAAUGUAGACCAUCGGGCAAGGAUUUCAUUAUCAGCCCUUCUAUACCUUCUGUAGAAAUGUGUGAGGCUGAAAGUUGGUGUACAAGGUCUUGGCUCAAUAGAAUUGUCCUUUGCUUUAUAAACACAGCCAAAGACUUAAUUUGGACCUGCCAGCAUCCUCAAAGAUGUCGGAAAUGUUGUUCACCUGUACCUCCUUCCUGAUGAAACGUGCUGGGGCUAUGCCUUUACAUGCCAUUAAACCAGGACCACGCACACGUGCAAGCGGUACCUGAGUUGUGCAGUCUCCUGUUUACUGCACUGCACACCUCCACGCCAGGUUGAGGGAAGACCCCUUUGAAAAUGAGGUGCUUGAUGACUGCAGGGGGUGAGGAUCUCGCUCUCGUGUCACAGCUGGGUGUUAUGCCUUCAUCAGAGAUUUAGAAAAAGCUCAGGGAAAACAGUUACAUCUGUUCUAUUGCCUAAGACACUUCCUGCAGCUACUGCCUUUCCUUAGAGUUACCAAUGGCAGUGCUGACCCUGCCUGACCCUACUUAUCUUGUAAAAGCUGACAAGAUCACAGCCUGAAGCAGUACAGCCACAGGCUCAAUACUGGCUACCAAAAUGUCUGUUUACUAUUUUCAAGAAAUGCUGCUCUAAAGAUUUACAAUACCAGCUGCCAGAUAUACGGACACACAGCUAGAUAUACGGACCAAUACAGAGCCCUGACUCCUGAGCAUUCAGCCCCACUUACACAGAAAUUUGUGCCUCUCAAGGGGCCAAGACUGAGCUGCCACAAAAUAGUAGUUCCCUACCUGCAAGUAAGCUGGAAUUUAAGCAUCAUAAGAUUAUAUACACCCAGAUAUUGGGUAAAAGUAUUUGAAAACCGCAGUCUUGAGUUCCAAAUCCAUUGUUAGUGUCUUUCAUAAGUUGUGUUACUGCUUUAGCAAUAGCAAGAGCUCUGCCAUUUCUGUGUAAUAUAUUUUUCUUUUAGUUUAGUACAGAGAAUUAUCUUAAUUCUUCCGUGACCAAAGCAGUUUUUCAUCAGAAGUUAUUUUUAGAUGAACUGUAAGUUUCUUCCCUAGGAAACAUUUUAGCUCCACUGUAUGAAAGCAAAUGCCCAUAUUCUCAGAUAGCUCUAAGGAUAAACACAGGUUUAAAUAUUCAAGAAAUAUUAAGGGACUGAUCUGGUUUAGUUGUAUGUACAUUCAUACACAAUAUACAUUAAUAUUUCUUGCAGAGUGGUGGUUUUUUUUUUUCUUUUCUUUUUAGAACAGCAAAGACAUGGAAAAGACAUUGAGGUCCUAUUGCUCCUGUCGGAAAAUUCUGCUGACCACAGCAUGAGUUGGACUGGGCCCAGAGAAACCAAAUACACGCAAGUAACAAUGAGUUGACCAUACAAGCAAGGAAAAUCACAGAUAACAGGUGCACACAAUUAGCAAUGUACCUUUUAGGUCAUCCAGUACAGCUCCCUGACACCGUGAGAUUGUUUCCUAUGGCAUAUUUUUGGUUUUGUGUGCCUAGAUUAAAUGUCCUAAGUGAUGCCAUGUCCCUAGGGAGAGACUGUGCUGCCUAGAGUAUCUUGUUGUCAGAAGAAUUUUUUCCUGUCUUAACAUCAUCACAUUUCUCCCAGAUAUGUCCCUUUGCAAACCUCCCUCUUUUCCUUCAUUGAUGCUAUUUUCCUUCAGUAUCUUUUAACUAGCUUAAUGUUGUGUUUAGAUAGCAUUAAGCCAACCCAUAGCUAUUUAGCUCAUUUGAUCUUCCCUGACAAAUCAGUCCUUUCAGUCUCCUGGUUAUUCUUCCUUUCCUCUUGUCACACUCCUGCCUGCCAGUAUCUUUCCUGGCUAUGAGGUUUUAAAGAUGUGAUGCAUUUCUCUGAACUAAUGACAGAUCUGGUAUAGAGCUGAACACCCUCAGUGUCUUCUCACUGAAAAACUGUUCUGAUGUGCCCAGGGGAAAGCUGCCAGACCUCAGGAGAGACGGGCAGGUAGAGUGUCCUGCUCAAACCUCUUCCUUGGUGCCACUUCUUCUAUUGGCCAGCAAAAAUCUAUUAAAACAGUUAACCUAGUAGUUCAAAAAAUAAAGACAUGUAAUUAUGGAUUUAUUUUAUUUCUCACACAAUGUUAGGAGAUAGAGUAGCACAGAUAAAAAGAUCUUUGUUGCUGCUGUUGAGAUUUUCUAACCCUUGGUCAUGGAUAUGACAGUCUAACAUUAUGGAAGACAUAAUCUUCCAUAACUACAUCUGAGCAUUAGGAGGGUACAUUGUAGAAAGUAAUUAUAUACAUAGUCACAAACCUAGCUGUUGACUUCAGGCAAUAAAUUCUGAUCAACAAACAACACUCCUUUAGUGCUAAAUGAGAUCUUCGUUGUAAUUGAAUGUCUUUACCUUUGUGUUCUGUUGGAUUGGAGGAAUAUAAUUUUAAUCUGCUCUCUUUAAAUUUUCAUUAAGGAACGUUUCAGCUACCUGCAUCAUCUGAUGAUGUUUAAUGAUAUCAGCUAGCUCGGUCUUCUGUGCACGAGCAGGGGCUUCUUUAAAUUGGCCAACUGUAUGGAAUAUUGUUUUCAGGUUUAACGUACUUGGAAUCAACCUUUUAAAAUAAUGGCACCUCUAAAGACAGUUUAUAUACAUAGUGCACAUAUAUACAUGCAUGAAUUUAUAUGUGCAUAUGUGUGUGUAUGCAUAUAUAGAUGCUUAAGUGCACACAUAUGUACAGAAACACUGAUCCUAUUCACCUUCUUGAAACCAUUUCAGCUAGUAUUAACAUAAAUGUGCUGUUAAAUUGGCAGUGUUAUACAUUUUUGUUGGAGUUUACUUCUGUAACAUAAAAUCAGAAAGAUAAGCUGUGAAACUCAUGCAGCUGAUGACAUAAUGCUAGGAUCUUGUGAUGCUGAAUCUCAUAUUUCUAGGAGUGUGGGAUGGAUGUUCCUUGCUGAAAUAAUUAUACUGCCUAUUGCAAUACAUGUUUCCUUGUUUUCAUGUGGGCACUGAGAUGUCCAAACCAUUAAACAUAUAUGGUAUAAUGA